rnacentral:rRNA from 1 species
CACGUAGGGGGCGAGCGUUGUCCGGAAUCAUUGGGCGUAAAGAGCUCGUAGGCGGCUCGGUAAGUCGGGUGUGAAACCCCCAGGCUCAACCUGGAGACGCCACCCGAUACUGCUGUGGCUAGAGUCCAGUAGGGGAGUGUGGAAUUCCCGGUGUAGCGGUGAAAUGCGCAGAUAUCGGGAGGAACACCAGCGGCGAAGGCGGCACUCUGGGCUGGUACUGACGCUGAGGAGCGAAAGCGUGGGUAGCAAACAGG